UUCGCAAUGCCCGAAAGGGUGACGAAGCGACGCCGCGUGUGGGAAGAAGGCCUUCGGGUUGUAAACCACUGUCGGGAGUUAAGAAAUGCAAGGAUAUUAAUAGUGUCUUUGUUUGACUAAGGCUCCGGAGGAAGCCACGGCUAACUCUGUGCCAGCAGCCGCGGUAAUACAGAGGCGGCAAGCGUUGUUCGGAAUUAUUGGGCGUAAAGAGCACGUAGGCGGCUAUGUAAGUCGGUUGUGAAAGCCUUCCGCUCAACGGAAGAACAGCAUCCGAUACUACAUGGCUUGAGUGCGGGAGGGGAGAGUGGAACUUCUGGUGGAGCGGUGAAAUGCAUAGAUAUCAGAAGGAACGCCGGCGGCGAAAGCGGCUCUCUGGCCCAUAACUGACGCUGAGUGUGCGAAAGCUAGGGGAGCAAACGGGAUUAGAUACCCCGGUAGUCCUAGCCGUAAACGAUGGGCACUAAGUAGAGGGGUUUU
rnacentral:rRNA from 1 species